GUAGGGAAUAUUGGGCAAUGGAGGCAACUCUGACCCAGCCAUGCCGCGUGUAGGAUGACGGCCCUCUGGGUUGUAAACUGCUUUUAUACGGGUAGAAAAAAUACUACGUGUAGUAUACUGACGGUACCGUAAGAAUAAGGAUCGGCUAACUCCGUGCCAGCAGCCGCGGUAAUACGUCGGAUCCAAGCGUUGUCCGGAUGUAUUGGGUUUAAAGGGUGCGUAGGCGGAUCUUUAAGUCAGUGGUGAAAGCCUGCAGCUUAACUGUAGAAUUGCCAUUGAAACUGAAGAUCUUGAAUGUGGUUAAAGUAGGCGGAAUGUAUCAUGUAGCGGUGAAAUGCUUAGGUAUGCUACGGAACACCGAUUGCGAAGGCAGCUUACUAUUUCGUAAUAGACGCUGAGGCACGAAAGCGUGGGUAGCGAACAGGAUUAGAUACCCGGGUAGUCC
rnacentral:rRNA from 1 species